UACGUAGGGGUCUAGCGUUGUCCGGAAUCAUUGGGCGUAAAGAGCUCGUAGGCGGUUCGGCAAGUCGGAUGUGAAAUCUCCACGCUCAACGUGGAGGGGCCAUUCGAAACUGCCGUGACUCGAGUCCGGUAGGGGAGUGCGGAAUUCCCGGUGUAGCGGUGAAAUGCGCAGAUAUCAGGAAGAACACCCGUGGCGAAAGCGGCUCUCUGGAACGGUACUGACGCUGAGACGCGAAAGCGUGGGGAGCGAACAGG
rnacentral:rRNA from 1 species